rnacentral:rRNA from 1 species
AGAUCCGGGCGCGGAUGGGCAUGCGUCUGAUUAGCUGGUUUGGCGGGGCAACGGCCCACCAAGGCAACGAUCAGUAGGGGUUCUGAGAGGAAGGUCCCCCACAUUGGUACUGAGACACGGACCAAACUCCUACGGGAGGCAGCAGUGAGGAAUAUUGGUCAAUGGGCGGAAGCCUGAACCAGCCAAGUCGCGUGAGGGAUGACGGUCCUACGGAUUGUAAACCUCUUUUGUCGGGGAGUAACGUGCGGGACGGGUCCCGUAUUGAGAGUACCCGAAGAAAAAGCAUCGGCUAACUCCGUG